rnacentral:rRNA from 1 species
UACGAAGGGGGCUAGCGUUGCUCGGAAUCACUGGGCGUAAAGCGCACGUAGGCGGCUUUUUAAGUCAGGGGUGAAAUCCUGGAGCUUCAACUCCAGAACUGCCUUUGAUACUGAGAGGCUCGAGUCCGGGAGAGGUGAGUGGAACUGCGAAGUGUAGAGGUGAAAUUCGAUAGAUAUUCGGCAAGAACACCAGUGGCGAAGGCGGCUCACUGGCCCGGUACGUGACGCUGAGGUGCGAAAGCGUGGGGAGCAAACAGG